rnacentral:rRNA from 1 species
GCCUACGGGAGGCAGCAGUGGGGAAUAUUGGGCAAUGGGCGCAAGCCUGACCCAGCAACGCCGCGUGAAGGAAGAAGGCUUUCGGGUUGUAAACUUCUUUUGUCGGGGAGCAAAAAGGCCUCGUGAGGCCACAAGUGAGAGUACCCGAAGAAAAAGCAUCGGCUAACUCCGUGCCAGCAGCCGCGGUAAUACGGAGGAUGCGAGCGUUAUUCGGAUUUAUUGGGUUUAAAGGGCGCGUAGGCGGACUGGAAAGUCAGCGGUAAAAUCGAGAGGCUCAACCUCUUUCCGCCGUUGAAACUGUCGGU